rnacentral:rRNA from 1 species
AUGGCAUUGGACGUGCUCGUCAGGCUGCUGAUCCUCGCGGCCGUCGCGAGCGCCAUGCCGGUGCCGGGCGCCGCGGAUCCCGCCGGCGCCGGGCUCGCCAUCGGGUUCUACGACAAGAGGUGCCCGAAAGCGGAGGAGCUGGUGCUCGAGGAGAUGCGGGACAUCGUCCACGAGGACAGGACCCUCGGCCCGGCGCUGCUGCGGCUUCUCUUCCACGACUGCUUCGUCAGGGGGUGUGACGGGUCGAUCAUGCUGAAAUCGAGGAGCAAGAAGGGGGAGAGGGACGCCAAGCCCAUGAGCUACAGCCUCCGCGGCUUCGACGAGGUCGAGAGGAUCAAGGCCAAGCUGGAGGACGAGUGCCCGCUGACCGUGUCGUGCGCAGACAUCAUCAUCAUGGCCGCGCGGGACGCCGUGUACCUGACCAACGGGCCACGGUUCCCGGUGGAGACCGGACGCCGGGACGGCAAGGUGUCCUCAUGCCUCGACGCCGAGAACGACCUGGCGCCGCCGAACGCCAACAUUGUGGACCUGAAGACCUACUUCAGCGUGAAGAACCUGUCGUGGAAGGACCUCGUCGUCUUGUCAGGGAGCCACACGAUCGGGAGGGCGCAGUGCAACGCGUUCGCGCCGGACCGGCUCUACAACAACAGCGGCAAAGGGGUGCAGGACCCGACGCUGGACAAGGCGUACGCUCCGGAGCUGCGGGAGAGGUGCGAGCCAGGCAACGAGAAAGACGAGACGCCCGUGGACAUGGACCCCAAGAGCCCCUACGAGUUCGACCUCAGCUACUACCGGGACGUGCUCAGCAACAGGACCCUGUUCGUCUCCGACCAGGCGCUGCUCGACGACAAGUUGACGAGGGACUACGUGGCGAGGAUGGCGGCCGCCGAGUCGACGGAGGAGUACUUCCAUGACUACGCCACCGCCAUGAUCAACAUGGGCAGGAUGGAGGUGCUCACCGGCGACAACGGGGAGAUCAGGAAAAUCUGCAGCGCGUACGUUCACUAA